rnacentral:ncRNA from 1 species
AGCCCUUAUGUCAUCUAUGCCCAUCUUACACAUGCAAGUAUCUGCACACCCGUGAAAACGCCCUCAACCCCUUAACCAAGGAAGAGGAGUUGGUAUCAGGCACAACCAAUAAGCCCACGACACCUAGCCACGCCACACCCACAAGGGUAUUCAGCAGUGAUAAACAUUGUUUAUAAGCGUCAGCUUGAAUCAGUUAAGGCAAAGAGGGCCGGCAAAUCCGGUGCCAGCCGCCGCGGCUACACCGUUAGGCCCAAGUUGACACACACCGGCGUUAAGCGUGAUUAGAGUGAUUACACAGAUUAGAGUUAAACCCAAAUUUAGUCGUGAUACACUUGUCCCCGGGAAACCCAAAAACGAAAGUUACUCUAACCAACCCACUUGACCCCACGACAGCUAAGACACAAACUGGGAUUAGGUACCCCACUAUGCCUAGCCGUAAAACAUAUACUCACCCCAACAAAUCGCCAGGGAAUUACGAGCCCAAGCUUAAAACCCAAAGGACUUGACGGUGUCCCACCCACCUAGAGGAGCCUGUUCUAUAAUCGAUUCCCCCCGAUAAACCUCACCACUUCUAGCCAACUCAGCCUGUAUACCUCCGUCGUAAGCUUACCAUGUGAACGAAACCAGUGAGCCCAAAGAUCCCACAUCAAUACGUCAGGUCAAGGUGCAGCUAACGAACUGGAAAGAAAUGGGCUACAAUUUCUACAAUAGAACAAACGAAAGACUACAUGAAAUAUAGUCACUGAAGGCGGAUUUAGCAGUAAAAAGGAAAUAGAGAGUUCUUUUUAACAAGGCGCUGGGACGCGUACACACCGCCCGUCACCCUCUUCAAAUG